rnacentral:tRNA from 1 species
GCAGUGAUGGCUCAGUGGUAGAAUUCUUGUUUUCUGUGCAAGAGACCCAGGUUUGAUUCCUGGCCAGUGUA